GUAGAAGAAGAACAUAUAAACAAUAAGCAAAGGCAAUUAUGUGGUGCAGAUUAACAAAUGGUGGAUAGAACAGACAAAGCUUAUUGGGAGGACCUCAUUACAGCAAUGCAGCUGCCUCAGCUCCAUUUGGUCAAUGAUUAACUGAUAUUUUCCUUUCUUUUUUUAAAAAGAAGUAUAGUUUUAGUGGUUGUGAAAGAAAGGCUACAGAGGACUUGUUUACGCUGUGUUUGAAGAACUGUACUCCAAAAGCAAUUGGUUCAAUGGAAGUUCUUCUUAUUAUAAGUUCUUUCAUGCCCA